rnacentral:rRNA from 1 species
AUUGAACGCUGGCGGCAGGCCUAACACAUGCCAGUCGAACGGUAACAGAAAGCAGCUUGCUGCUUUGCUGACGAGUGGCGGACGGGUGAGUAAUGUCUGGGAAACUGCCUGAUGGAGGGGGAUAACUACUGGAAACGGUAGCUAGUACCGCAUAACGUCGCAAGACCGAAGAGGGGGACCUUCGGGCCUCUUGCCAUCGGAUGUGCCCAGAUGGGAUUAGCUAGUAGGUGGGGUAAAGGCUCACCUAGGCGACGAUCGCUAGCUGGUGUGAGAGGGUGACAAGCCACACUGGAACUGGGACACGGUCCAGACUCCUACGGGAGGCAGCAGUGGGGAAUAUUGCACAAUGGGCGCAAGCCUGAUGCAGCCAUGCCGAGUGUAUGAAGAAGGCCUUCGGGUUGUAAAGUACUUUCAGCGGGGAGGGAGGGAGUAAAGUUAAUACCUUUGCUCAUUGACGUUACCCGCAGAAGAAGCACCGGCUAACUCCGUG